rnacentral:lncRNA from 1 species
UCAGUCCGAUACGGCUACCCGAGUCAACGCCUCGCUUCAGUUCGUCGUCCUAGCUCCAAGUCAGUCCCUGCCUAAGUUUCUCGCUUUGUUACUUUCCUCAGAACCCCGAUUUAGCACUUCCCAUAAGCUACGGAUCAAUUCCCCGCCUAACUAUCCCGCCUCGAUUCCUUUCCUCAAUUUUCUCGCCUAAGCUUCCUCCAAAGCUCCCCGCCUCAGCACUCCGUAUCACCAUGACACUUCGCCUUUCACCUAUCCUACUGUUUACCCUCUGUGCUGCGGCACAAACCUAUGAUUGUCCCGAUGGCUGGACAGGCGUCAACGCACUCUGUUAUAGGAGUCUUCCAGGGCCGGCGGAUCAACCCACAGCACAAGCUAUGUGUCAAGAGGAGGACGCAGCAGCCGUGCUGCCAUCUAUACACGACCUGGCAACCAAUAGUAUCCUGCUGGGCCUCUCUGGCAAUCUGCCCUUCUGGACGGGACUGACCAAUGCUACUGGUGGCGGCCAGGGACAGUGGAGCUGGCAGGACGGCUCUGCCACCGAUUUCUCCAACUGGGCUCCGGGUAUGCCGGUUCUGGAUAACGGCAGAAAGGGCUGUGUGUGGGUUUAUGAGGGCGAUGGUACGUGGAGUAACGCCCAGUGUAACCUCCUGCUUGGGGAUGUGAUGUGCCAGCUCUGAGCCGGUGGUGUGACGUGACGUCACGUGUCGUGACGUCAUAUGAUAUGACGUCACAUGCUAUGACGUCAUAUGGUGUGGUAUAUGCUCUGACGUCACAUGUUAUGACAUCAUAUGCUGUGGUAUCAUGUGAUGCAACGCCAUAUGAAAUAAAGUCUUAUGGUUUGACGUCAUUUGGGGUAACGUGCGUCAACUCUUACGGACAGCACAAAUGCGUCCUAAUUCUUCUCCAAGUCGUGUAAAAAAAAAAAACAGGAUUUCGUCCUGGGUGUCAUGCAUUGUGUCGUCGUAUGGCAGCACUGACGUGAUGACGUAACAUGUUGUGACGUCAUGAAUGAUGGAGGUGUUGCGGAAAUGAUAUUUGUGGUUUGAUUAGGUAUGUGAAAGGUAAAAAAAGCUGUUUGGGUGAAGUAAAUACAGUGGAUGUGGUCAAUAGCUCACAAAAAUAAA